rnacentral:lncRNA from 1 species
CUCAUUCCUGUUGUCUCCUUCAGAACCACAAACCAAACCCUAGCGCCGUCACUCAAUUCCCUCAUCAGGAACCCGGCAGCAACGAUGCCGGUAACCACGAAACUAACACCCCUUGACCAUAUGACCCCCUCAGUCCAAAUAUGUACUCCAUUAAACUCGAAUCAUCACGAACUGUCUCGAAUCUUUGAUCGAAGAUUCGAGCAAAAACCCUAGGUCAUCCAAUCCACCCCAAAAUCACACCAGCUAUCCACCAGAUCACCCUCGCCCCUAAUCCUUAACCAAUUUGGUCCAAAUCCGAG